rnacentral:rRNA from 1 species
UGGGGAAUUUUGGACAAUGGGGGCAACCCUGAUCCAGCCAUGCCACGUGAGUGAAGAAGGCCCUCGGGUUGUAAAGCUCUUUUGUCCGGAAAGAAAAGCAUUCGGUGAAUACCCGGAUGUUCUGACGGUACCGGAAGAAUAAGCACCGGCUAACUUCGUGCCAGCAGCCGCGGUAAUACGAAGGGUGCAAGCGUUACUCGGAAUUACUGGGCGUAAAGCGUGCGUAGGUGGUUGUUUAAGUCUGAUGUGAAAGCCCUGGGCUCAACCUGGGAAUGGCAUUGGAAACUGGGCAGCUAGAGCGCGGUAGAGGGUAGUGGAAUUCCCGGUGUAGCAGUGAAAUGCGUAGAGAUCGGGAGGAACAUCUGUGGCGAAGGCGACUGCCUGGACCAGCACUGACACUGAGGCACGAAAGCGUGGGGAGCAAACA